GUCUCAAAGAUUAAGCCAUGCAUGUCUAAGUAUAAGCAAUAUAUACCGUGAAACUGCGAAUGGCUCAUUAAAUCAGUUAUAGUUUAUUUGAUAGUACCUUUACUUGGAUAACUGUGGUAAUUCUAGAGCUAAUACAUGCUAAAAACCUCGACUUCGGAAGGGGUGUAUUUAUUAGAUAAAAAACCAAUGCCCUUCGGGGCUCCUUGGUGAUUCAUGAUAACUUAACGAAUCGCAUGGCCUUGCGCCGGCGAUGGUUCAUUCAAAUUUCUGCCCUAUCAACUUUCGAUGGUAGGAUAGUGGCCUACCAUGGUUUUAACGGGUAACGGGGAAUUAGGGUUCUAUUCCGGAGAGGGAGCCUGAGAAACGGCUACCACAUCCAAGGAAGGCAGCAGGCGCGCAAAUUACCCAAUCCCGACACGGGGAGGUAGUGACAAUAAAUACUGAUGGUGGGUUCUUUUGGAUCUACCAAUUGGAAUGAGUACAAUUUAAAUCCCUUAACGAGGAACAAUUGGAGGGCAAGUCUGGUGCCAGCAGCCGCGGUAAUUCCAGCUCCAAUAGCGUAUAUUAAAGUUGUUGCAGUUAAAAAGCUCGUAGUUGAACUUUGGGUCUGGCUGAUCUGUCCUCCUAAUCGAGC
rnacentral:rRNA from 1 species